rnacentral:misc_RNA from 1 species
GAUGAAGAACGGCAGUGAAAUGCGAUACUUGGUGUGAAUUGCAGAAUCCCGUGAACCAUCGAGUCUUUGAACGCAAGUUGCGCCUCAAGCCAUUAGGUUGAGGGCACGUCUGCCUGGGCGUCACAUAUCGUUGCCUGAUGCCAGUUUCCUCGUGAUGGGUGACUGUGCAGGGCGAAUGAUGGCUUCCCGUGAGCAUUGUUGCCUCAUGGUUGGUUGAAAAUUGAGUCCUUGGUAGGGAGCGCCGUGAUAGAUGGUGGUUGAGUGACGAACGAGACCCAAUCAUGUGAGACCCCUACCGAAUUUGGCCUUCAUGACCCACAUGCGUCUUUGGAACGCUCAUGACGAGACCUCAGGUCAGGCGGGGCUACCCGCUGAGUUUAAGCAUAUCAAUAAGCGGAGGA